CACGUCAGCGCGAGAUGUUGACGUGGAAGGAAAUCGCGUCCUUGAGAGCGCGAUUUCCUUCCACGUUAGCAUCUCGCGCUGACGUGG
rfam:Gossypium hirsutum cultivar TM-1 unplaced genomic scaffold scaffold165.1, whole genome shotgun sequence